rnacentral:rRNA from 1 species
GAUGAACGCUGGCGGCGUGCUUAACACAUGCAAGUCGAACGAUGAAGCCCAGCUUGCUGGGUGGAUUAGUGGCGAACGGGUGAGUAACACGUGAGUAACCUGCCCUUAACUCUGGGAUAAGCCUGGGAAACUGGGUCUAAUACCGGAUAGGAGCGUCCACCGCAUGGUGGGUGUUGGAAAGAUUUAUCGGUUUUGGAUGGACUCGCGGCCUAUCAGCUUGUUGGUGAGGUAAUGGCUCACCAAGGCGACGACGGGUAGCCGGCCUGAGAGGGUGACCGGCCACACUGGGACUGAGACACGGCCCAGACUCCUACGGGAGGCAGCAGUGGGGAAUAUUGCACAAUGGGCGAAAGCCUGAUGCAGCGACGCCGCGUGAGGGAUGACGGCCUUCGGGUUGUAAACCUCUUUCAGUAGGGAAGAAGCGAAAGUGACGGUACCUGCAAAAGAAGCACCGGCUAACUACGUG